GACGAACGCUGGCGGCGUGCCUAAUACAUGCAAGUAGAACGCUGAAGGAGGAGCUUGCUCUUCUGGAUGAGUUGCGAACGGGUGAGUAACGCGUAGGUAACCUGCCUGGUAGCGGGGGAUAACUAUUGGAAACGAUAGCUAAUACCGCAUAAGAGUAGAUGUUGCAUGACAUUUACUUAAAAGGUGCAAUUGCAUCACUACCAGAUGGACCUGCGUUGUAUUAGCUAGUUGGUGGGGUAACGGCUUACCAAGGCGACGAUACAUAGCCGACCUGAGAGGGUGAUCGGUCACACUGGGACUGAGACACGGCCCAGACUCCUACGGGAGGCAGCAGUAGGGAAUCUUCGGCAAUGGACGGAAGUCUGACCGAGCAACGCCGCGUGAGUGAAGAAGGUUUUCGGAUCGUAAAGCUCUGUUGUAAGAGAAGAACGAGUGUGAGAGUGGAAAGUUCACACUGUGACGGUAUCUUACCAGAAAGGGACGGCUAACUACGUG
rnacentral:rRNA from 1 species